AUCAAAAUUUCCCUUUUAUGUCUCUCAAAUGCAUAAAAAUAGAGACUAUGAAGCAAGAGAUUGAAGCUGAGAACAUGUGAAGAGUUUCCUUCAAUUUAUAAUGCUUUGAUUAUAGUGAAGGAGAAGAGAUAAGUUCCUUUCCUUCCUGACUUCUUCUAAUCAAGGAAGAAGAACUGUGCUCAGAGAAGCAGCAAGGACGCCAGGCAGGAGGCUGGGACAGAGUGGUCCUCAGGAAGGUGAGGACACUGACAGAUGAAGCUCCCUGUCCUCAGGUGACAGCAUCCCCGGGCCACGUGGGCCUCCAGCUUCUGUUCCCAUCUGACACAGACAGCUUUACACUGGAUCACAAAAUACUUUGUAUCAUCCAGCAAAAGCCACAGGUCAUGAGGCAAGAAGGAAACAGUCUCGAACGCCUGCCAAGCUGUUCUGCCCAGCGAGCCUCUUUCCACAAGCGCGGUGCUCUGGGGCGCGCCUGAAGCUCCAGCCAGCCAAGGCUCUUUCCUGCCUUCAAAGGCCCACCUCGAGUCAAUGCCAGAACCCGGCAACAGAUCCUGGUCCAACUCAUGCAAACCGCAGAACUGCAGGGCGGUUGAGGCCACUGAAUCCUGAGUUGAGAUCAAGUGGUUUAAUACCAAAGGAAAACAUCUUCAAAGUUUUGUUAGAGAGAAAGUCAAACAGUGAUAAUAUUGAACUCUCCGGCCUGCUAAGUCAUUUCUAUUUGGUCAGCUCUUGAUAGGAUGUGAGGUCUGAGGGCCCCCGCCCACCGGUUUAUUG
rnacentral:lncRNA from 12 species